rnacentral:sRNA from 1 species
GAAAUGGACUGAAAGAAAGACGCAGAAGCAGGAGCUGAGU